UACGUAGGGGGCAAGCGUUGUCCGGAAUCAUUGGGCGUAAAGCGCGCGUAGGCGGCCCUGUUAGUCCGCUGUAAAAGUCAAAGGCUCAACCUUUGAAUGCCGGUGGAUACUGCAGGGCUAGAGUCCGGAAGAGGCGAGUGGAAUUCCUGGUGUAGCGGUGGAAUGCGCAGAUAUCAGGAGGAACACCAAUUGCGAAGGCAGCUCGCUGGGACGUUACUGGCGCUGAGACGCGAAAGCGUGGGGAGCAAACAGG
rnacentral:rRNA from 1 species